UACGGAGGGUGCAAGCGUUAUCCGGAUUCACUGGGUUUAAAGGGUGCGUAGGCGGGCAGGUAAGUCAGGGGUGAAAUCCCAGAGCUCAACUCUGGAACUGCCUUUGAUACUGGGUGUCUUGAGUAUGGAAGAGGUGAGUGGAAUUCCGAGUGUAGAGGUGAAAUUCGUAGAUAUUGGGAAGAACACCGGUGGCGAAGGCGGCCAUCUGGACCGCAACUGACGCUGAGGCGCGAAAGCGUGGGGAGCAAACAGG
rnacentral:rRNA from 1 species